rnacentral:lncRNA from 8 species
AGAGAGGCUAUAUACAGUAGAGAGGCUGUAUACAAUAGAGGCUAUAUACAGUAGAGAGGCUAUAUACAGUAGAGAGGCUAUAUACAGACACCGGUUAGUCAGGCUGAUUGAGGUAGUAUGUACAUGUAGAUAUGGUGUAAGUGACUAUGCAUAUAUGAUGAACAGAGAGUAGCAGCAGUGUAAAAGAGGGGGGGACAACGGGGGGACAACACAAUGCAAAUUCCGUGUAGCCAUUUGAUUACCUGUUCAGGAGUGUUAUGGCUUGGGGGUAGAAGCUGUUGAAAAGCAAUGACAAUCAGUAGUGAAAUAUGGUAGUUAGAAUGAUAAUCAGUAGUGACAUAACAUGUUAACCAAAUGCUCGUGAAGGAGAAGCAUCAGUCCAUUACAGGCAGAGUCAUAUAUUUAACUAGAUCUAGAUAUAUGGCUCCGAUAACACAAACAGAGGAGAGACAGACAUUCCAUCUGAACAGACACCGAGAGCUAGAUCAGCCUCCCCUAAAAUAUGGUGGAUAAAUGAAGACGUCCCACUCAGGCCAUUUAAUAUUACAUAAAAUGAUCCGUUUCAGUCUGCUUAUUAAGGGGUUGGUUCUCCCAUAGCCACUAAUGCAUUACCAGCUGGGUCUGGUCUACUUAGAUAUUGAUAAUUGGGCUGGAAGAACAUGUGAAAGAACAUGUAAAAGAAGAUAUUUGCAUUGAGUGCACACUGUGCACCCACCUACACAUUUAUAUUACAUAUGUGGUGUUCAGGUCCACUGGACCCGAAGCUAAUACAAGUGUGGACAAGUGUGUGUGUAGGUGAAAACAAGUAAACAUUUUACAAAAUGGUUUUCUGUGUGCUUUCACUGUGUCUUCCUCCUCUCUGGGCCUGUUGUUUCAUCAUAGCACCAAGAACCUGUCUGUCUGUCUCCCUGUCUCCCUGCCUGCCUGUCUGUCUGUCUCCCUGCCUGUCUGUGUCUCCCUGCCUGUCUGUGUCUCCCUGCCUGUCUGUGUCUCCCUGCCUGUCUGUGUCUCCCUGCCUGUCUGUGUCUCCCUGCCUGUCUGUGUCUCCCUGCCUGUCUGUGUCUCCCUGCCUGUCUGUGUCUCCCUGCCUGUCUGUGUCUCCCUGCCUGUCUGUGUCUCCCUGCCUGUCUGUGUCUCCCUGCCUGUCUGUCUCCCUGCCUGUCUGUCUCCCUGCCUGUCUGUCUGUCUCCCUGCCUGUCUGUCUGUCUCCCUGCCUGUCUGUGUCUCCCUGCCUGUCUGUGUCUCCCUGCCUGUCUGUCUGUCUGUCUCCCUGCCUGUCUGUCUGUCUGUCUCCCUGCCUGUCUGUCUGUCUGUCUCCCUGCCUGUCUGUCUGUCUGUCUCCCUGCCUGUCUCCCACUCUUUACCCUUUGUAGUGAAACUACACAACGUCUUGCAGGAACCUGCACAAUGUUAUUUCGAUACAUUGUAAAAAAAAGUCAGUAUUUUCCCACACUCUAUCCCAGCCAGGUGUUAAUUAAGGAAGGGACACAAACAAAUAAAUAGCUUUGCAUGUGUGGCUUCUUACCACAAUCGAACAGUACGGCAAAAAAUAAUCUCUGCUCAGAGAGGACCUUAGAAAUAAUUUCUGCAGAGAGAGAAGCUAAUGUGGAAGGAGCGUCUUCCACUUUCCGAAUAUGAGGAUCAUGUCUCUGUCAAUUCGGAGUCUGACAGUGAGUUGGAAGAAGAGGAUGAGAUUGACCCUCAGCCAGCCCCAGGUCCCGCCUGUCAGCAACCAGCUCAUCAGCAGCCUGCAGGAGGAGAAAUAUGGAUGUAAAAAAAAAGUGAAAUUGAAUGGUCUUCUUGUCCAAGGAAUGAGCCACCCAGCAUGGCUGCCAAUGUGAUAAGGAUGCAACCAGGGCCGACGCGGAUGGCGGUUACUCAUGUGCAGGACAUAAAGUCUUCUUUUGAACUGUUCAUCCCAGACACCAUCCAGAAAAUCAUUCUGGACUACAUUAAAUUGGAGGGAAGGCGAUGUUUUUGGAGAGAGAUGGAAGGAGAUGGACCAAAAUCCUUUACAUGCAUACUUUGGGGUUCUUAUCCUUGCUGGUGUUUUCAAAACCAAUGGGGCAAUCCACUGAAUCCCUUUGAGAUGUAGAAACUGGCAGAGAACUUUUCCGUUUAACACAUUUUCUGUAAAACUUCCACAUUAUUUCCAGGAUUAUCCACUUCGAUAACCGAGACGCCAGACCAGCUCGGCGGCAGAGAGACACGCUAGCUGCAAUCAGGUCAGUUUGGGACAAGUGGGUGGACCGCCUUCCCCCUGUUUUACAACCCUGGACUCAACGU